GAAAAACAACAUGGUGGCUCUUCCGGUACGGCCGGGAAGUAGGUGCCCUCUGACCCCGGAAGUAGAUGACCGCCGGUUCCGUCCUUCCCCAAAAUGGCGGAGGCGGUGGCGGCGGCGACUGAAGACGAGGAGGAGAUAGUAGGGCCCCGACUGCCGCAGCUACUAGAGACCGGCCGCCGGCUAUUAGGUGAAGUCGAGGACACCAACGAGUCGACGAACUCCAGGUUUAUCCAGGAGAAGGUGAAGCAAGGUUUGGAAAGCUUGGAGAAAGCUUCCCGCAUGAUGGCGCAGCUUGACCUGUUCAGGCUAUGAAUUUAAGGAAUUCUACAACUGCAGAUUUAGAAUUGGAAGGGAUCUUCGAGGCCAUCUGGUGGGACCUUCGAGGCUAUCUGAUGGGACCCUUGAAAUUAUCUAGACAGACGAGACCGAGAGAGGAAAAGUGGCUUGCCCAGGUUCUCACAAUUAGUAAGCAUCAGAAUCAGAAGCUGAACUCAGGGCAUUUGGCUUCAGAUCCAGAGAACUUUCUAUGGCCCUGCCAUCCUUUGACAAAAUCCAUUGUAUUAAGAGGCAAACCUAACUCUGGACUAUAAAGCUCUUGUUUCUUCUCUCUUUUCCUCCACAAUCAGUCUUUCCCUUUUCUAAUCUAUCCUUUACAUUACUUCCAAGUUAAUAUUCCUAAAACACAAGUCUGAUUAUGUCACUCUCAUACUUUAAAAAAAAAAAAAAAAAAAAAUCCUGAAGUGGCUUCCUGUUGUCUCUAGGAGAAACUACAUACUCCUCAGUCUCUCUUUACCGCCGAAUUUGGUACUGCUUCUUUUUGCCCAAUCCACAUUCCAGCCAAACUGAACAACUCCCUUUCCCCCAAAGUGGACAUUUCAUCUCCUUCCUCCUCCCCUUUGCAGAGGCUGUACCCAUGUCUGAGACACUCUUUCCUUACCUCUUAGAAUCCCUACUUCUUUCAAGAUUCAGUUCAGCUGCCAACCUCCUAAGUAAGGCCUUCCCGGAUUCCUGCAGUUGUUGUUGCUCUGUCCCUCUUGAAACUACCUUAUAUUUGCUCAUCUUGCAUACAUGUUGUAUUCCUCCAUGGAAAGGGCGCUCGGUUAAGGCAGGGACUAUUUUUAGAACACCUCAGCGCCUGGCACACGUAGUAAACGUUUGCCGAGUUGAGCUUCUCACAUUUGCCUUUCUCUUUGAAAUCCACAAUCUCUCUUUCCAUUGUAGCCACCUUAUCAAACUGCAUUCUUGUUCUGGACUCCUAAGUGGUUCUGAAGAAAGUCUUGAGACUGCCUCAACUGAAUUGACUCCAAAUCCAUGCCAUCCAGCUGGGCCUCUCUACCAGCAGCAUUAUUUCUCAGCUUUAUGCCCCCUUCCCCAGACUCCCAAAUCCCCUGGCUCUCAGCAGGUGACUUCCUGUUCUGCUUUCCUGUGGAAAAGGAAGGCAUUCAGUGGAAGCUCUCUUAGCUAACCUUCGUCUACCCUCUCUUCAUUCUCUUCUGCCUCUGGGCAAGAAGUAGCUAACCUCCUUGAUCUGUCCCCUUGAUCUCAGUUCCUCUCCCACCUAGGGCUCAGAGAAUGGCUUUCUCUCUUUCUUUCAUCUUCUGUCUCUCCCUCUUGACCACUUCCUUUCUGAAUGUCUACAAUGUUCUGGUCAUAUCCCAUCCUUAAAAAAAAAAAAAAAAAAUUGCCUUCAUAUCUGUUACUCUCCCAAACCAUGAUCCAAUUUCCUUCUCUUCAAUCCUAUAUUUAUACUUCCCCACACUUUUAUUUUUCCCUUGUUCCACAUAUUAUUUACUUCUUACAAUCAUUUAUUUUCUCUCCUUUACACCUACCCCCACUGCACUGCAAAAAAAAAAAACAAACCCAAAAAAACACAGAAACCAAUCCCUCAUAACAACUGCCUAGUCAAGCAAUACAGAUUCCUCCAUUGGCUGUGUCCAAAAAUGUGUCUCGUUCAAUACCCUGAUUCUAACACCUUACUGUGCAGAAGUGGGUGACAUAUUUCAUCACCAGUCUUCUGGAAUACCUAUUGGUUAUUUCAUCAGUCAGAUUCUUCAGUCACCCAGAGUCGUUUGUUUUUACAGGGUUGUCUUUGAAUAGAUCACUCUCCUGGUUCUGCUUACUUCUCUCUGUGUCGGUUUAUAUAAGUCUUCCAAGAUUUUUUGAGACCAUCGUGCCUUUUUAUAAUUUCCUAAAGUACAAUAGUUUUUCCAUUACAUUUGUAUAUAAUGAUUUAUCUAUCCAUUCCCAAGAGGGGCAUCCGUUCAGUGUCUGGUUCUAUGCCAGUACUAAAAGAGCUUCUAGAAACAUUUUUGUCCAUUGUAGAUAUAUUUCUUAUUUGAUCUCUUUGGGGUAAUAUUUAUGGUUCAAGGGAUAUGCAGUUUAGAGACUUUUUGGACAUAAUUUCCAAAUUGAUUUCUAAAAUGAUAGGUCUUUUGAUCCAUAGCUCUACCAAUAAGGCAUUAAUGUGAUCAUUUUCCCAUAGUCCUUCCAACAUUUGUCAUUUUCUGCUUUUUUCAUCUUCACAGAUCCAAUACCUGUGAAGCAGGAACUGUUAUUUUCAUUUGAAUUUGUCUAAUUAAUAGUAAUUUAGAGCCUUUUUCACGUGCCUGUUGCUAGCUUGAAUAUCCUUUGUUUAUCUUGAAGAAUGGCUUAAAGAUUUUGAAAGUGAAAUCUUUAUCAGAGAAACUUGUUACCAAAAAAUUUCCCUGGUUACCUUUCUCUCUUCUAAUUUUAGCUCAUUGCUUUGAUUUCCCCAACAGUAUUUGUAAUUUUUGGUAUUAUUUUUUCAAAUUACAUGUAAGAACAAUUUUAACCUGCUUUUAAAAAAGUUUUGCCUUUCAAAUUCUUUCUCUUACUCUCCUUUCUCUAUCCUGAGAUGGCAAGCAAUUAGAUAUAGAUUAUACAUGUGCUGUCAUACAAAAUAUAUUUCCAUAUUAGCCAUCUUGCAAAAGAAAACAGAC
rnacentral:lncRNA from 1 species